ACUACGGGAGGCUGCAGUGGGGAAUAUUGCACAAUGGGGGAAACCCUGAUGCAGCGACGCCGCGUGAGCGAAGAAGUAUGUCGGUAUGUAAAGCUCUAUCGGCAGGGAAGAAAAUGACGGUACCUGAGUAAGAAGCUCCGGCUAAAUACGUGCCAGCAGCCGCGGGAAUACAUAUGAAGCAAUCGUUAUCCGGAUUUACUGGGGUGAAAGGGAGCGUAGGCGGCCUGCCAAGUCUGAUGGGAAAUGCCGGGGCUCAACCCCGGGGCUGCAUUGGAAACUGGCAGGCUGGAGUGCCGGAGAGACAGGCGGAAUUCCUAGUGUAGCGGUGAAAUGCGUAGAUAUUAGGAGGAACACCAGUGGCGAAGGCGGCCUGCUGGACGGUGACUGACGCUGAGGCUCGAAAGCGUGGGGAGCAAACAGGAUUAGAUCCCCGUGUAGUC
rnacentral:rRNA from 1 species